ensembl:lncRNA
UCACUCUUGUACCUCAUUUUCUGUUUGCAAUGACUUAUUUUCAUUUGAUGAGAGUGAUCCUUGCCUUGUAAUACAAGUUACAAGUCUGAAUCUUUCUGGUCCUUUGCUCAAGACACAUUGUGACCCUUUUCUUACCACAAUUCCCCUUGAGGUUCGUGCAGCUUGCCUAUUCUUGUGCCUAUUAGCCCUUCACCCCAUCAUCUCCAUUGAUCUACGCAUGUCGCUAGCUUAUAAACAUUCAAACAAAAAGUGGAAUAAAUACAUUUGGAUUAUUGUUAUCAAUUUCCCAUCUCAGUCACAUAGAGCAAUAAUGUUUAUUUUUCUACUUUUGAUCAUCCUGCUUGUGUGGUAACAAGGACAGGUAAUGUUGGUUAUAGUCAUCAAGGAUGCUAAGACAUUGCCUAGGGCAGAAGUUUCUCAUUAUAUGCUUAAAGAAAAUGCAAAAACCUUACAAAACCUUAAAAAUUACAGCAAUCUAAAUUUCAUCAAAUACACUUUCAUUGGCCAUUUGAACUAUGCUGAUAUUUUGAGAAGGACAGGAAACUGGCGGUUGCUCAUCUCAGAGCUUAUCUUAACUUCUAAUUAGAUAAAAAAAGUUAAUAGUUAUCUGGUAGUAGAUAUACACAGCUAUUAUAUUAUUAGAAAGAAAGCAUAACAUUGAGUGUUCAGUUUACUUGUACAAGACGUGAAGCAAAACACUCUGAAACAUUUCAAAUAUUUGUUUUAAUAUUGCAGAUUCUUGUGUCAUAUAUUGCAGUUCAACCACAGGUGGUUGAUAAUGAACUGUCAGGACAAAGAGCAUGUUGGUUAUAGUGAGACAGAUACAGAUAUAGAGUCAUCAGAGGACAGAACCAUGGAAAACAUUUGAAAAAUUUUCAAUCAGCGUUAUUGUGUGUCUGGAACUGACUAUUUGGUAGAAUUUUAGACAUUAGACAUUUUAGAGGGGUGACAUUUUGCCAGAGAGAAUGUAAGACUACAUUAACGUGCAAAGCACAUUCUAGUCUUGGGAAUGUGUAUACUUCUGUCCAAAGGUACAUUGUUAUCAUACUCCAUGUCCGUCAGCAGAUGGCAGCAGAGACACUUAAGUCCCAGAGACUCUGCCCCAGUAGCCAUUGCACCAGUGUCCACACCUGAGGCUUGUUUUACCUGUUCCAGCUUGAUUUGAAGUGUGUUUGCUACUGGUCUGCUCUGUGAAACCUCUGUUCUGUGAGUACUGUUUGUGACCUGAGUCCUGGUCUGCUCUGUAAAACCUCUGUUCUGUGUGUACUGUUUGUGACCUGAGUACUGGUCUUCUCUGUGAAACCUCUCUUCUGUGAGUACUGUUUGUGACCUGAGUCCUGGUGUGUGCUAUAAAACCUCUCUUCUGUGUGUACUGUUUGUGACCUGAGUCCUGGUGUGUGCUAUAAAACCUCUCUUCUGUGAGUACUGUUUGUGGCCUGAGUCCUCAUGGAGUGGGGAUUUGAGUCGCUGUAAACUGGCACUUGUGCUCUAUUCAUCCGUGUGACAGUUGGCAGGUAUGCACAGAUCGAGACAAAUCACUGGUUAUUCACAGCAUGUAUAUAAUGUAUAUUAUAUAUUGUAUAAAAUGUGUUAUAUACAAUAUACAAUAUUAUAUAAUGUAUAUAAUGUGUGUGUAUAUAUAUAUAUAUACACACACACGCUGUGAAUAACCAUUAUAUAAAAUGUUAUUCUUUUCUGAGGGAUGCGUUUUUAAAUGUGUACGCUAAAAGUCUUGAAACAAAUGUUUUCAAGCAGGUGUCCCCAGACCCCAGAAGUAAGGCAGUGGUGUUCUUCGAUCACUGGCAGGUGACAGCUGGCAUGCUGACAGCAAGACCACCCUUACGCUCAGAACGUUUUAUUUUGUAUUUAUUUUUUUUUUUUAGAUACUAGUGACUGCGUCUGAAGUUCCUUGGUCACGUAGCUGGCCUGCAUGUACUGGAUUAUGUCAAAUGCAUACAGGGCUCACAAGGCUACACACACACACACACACACACACACACACACAC